AGGCCCAGCAGCUGGUGACAGGUGGAGAGGCCCAGCAGCUGGUGACAAGGUGGAGAGGCCCAACAGCUGGUGACUGGGACAGGUGGAGAGGCCCAGCAGCUGGUGACAGGUGGAGAGGCCUAGCAGCUGGUGACAGGUGGAGAGGCCCAGCAGCUGGUGACAGGUGGAUAGGCCCAGCAGCUGGUGACAGGUGGAGAGGCCCAGCAGCUGGAGCAAGAACAGGAGGCUCAAGAGGUCCUCCGGAUCAUCCCUUCUACCCUGACCAGCACUGUGAUACGCGAGUGUACAGGUGCUCCAGGCGCUCUGUAGCUGCACCCUCAGGACCCCUCAGCUGCAACUGCUCCAGGAAGGUCCUCGCUCCGUGUGUGUCGACAAGAUGGGAGUACGAUGGAAGAGACUUCCUGGAGGAACCUGAAGGACAAGGCUGGAGGAGGCUUCUGCAGGACCAAUUUGAAGGACUCCUUAAGUCUGGGAUACGCUGUUGGAGGAUCCCUCUGGAAGGCCACACUCCAUGACCCUGCAAAAGCUUUGUAGGUCCUAGGGGCACCCAGCAUCUGCCCUGUAGGUCCCAGGGGUUUCUGUCACCUGUUAUGUAGGUCCCAAAGGCUGUCAGCACCUGUUAUGUAAGUACCAGGGCUUUCUAACACCAGCUGAGUAAAUUUCAGCUGCUUUUAACACAAUAUGUAGGUCCCAGGGUCUUCCAGCACCUGUUAUGUAGGUCCUAGGGUCUCCCAGCGCCUGGUAUGUAGAUCCUAGGGUCUCUCAGCACCUGGUAUGUAGGUCCCAGAGUCUCCCAGCACCUGGUAUGUAGGUCCCAGAGUCUCCAAGCACCUGGUAUGUAGGUCCCAGGGUCUCCCAGCACCUGUUAUGUAGGUCCUAGGGUCUCCCAGCACCUGGUAUGUAGGUCCCAGAGUCUCCAAGCACCUGGUAUGUAGGUCCCAGGGUCUCCCAGUACCUGUUAUGUAGGUCCUAGGGUCUCCCAGCACCUGUUAUGUAGGUCUUAAGAUCUCCCAGCACAUUUUAUCUAUUUCUCUGUGGCUUCCAGCACCUGUUGUGUAUAGGUUCCAAGGACUCUUAACAUCUGUUGUGUAACUCCCAGCCUACCAGCAUCUGUAUAUAAGGCCUCAGGAGUUCCUUACCCCUGGUAUGUAGGCUCCAGGGGCUUCCAACACCUGACAUAUAGGUCGGGGGGGCAGCACCCGUAUCUAAGGUUUCAGGGCUCCUAACACCUGUUGUGUAUAUAUAUUUAAAUAAAUGAGAAGUUCCCGAGUAGAACAUUCAUAUGGACGCGAAGACAUUGAUACGAUACAAACUUACAACUGACUUUACGUGUAUUUUACCUAUUAAAAUAUAUAAAAGAAA